rnacentral:rRNA from 1 species
UAGGGAAUCUUCCGCAAUGGGCGAAAGCCUGACGGAGCAACGCCGCGUGAGUGAUGAAGGUCUUCGGAUCGUAAAAUUCUGUUAUUAGGGAAGAACAAAUGUGUAAGUAACUAUGCACGUCUUGACGGUACCUAAUCAGAAAGCCACGGCUAACUACGUGCCAGCAGCCGCGGUAAUACGUAGGUGGCAAGCGUUAUCCGGAAUUAUUGGGCGUAAAGCGCGCGUAGGCGGUUUUUUAAGUCUGAUGUGAAAGCCCACGGCUCAACCGUGGAGGGUCAUUGGAAACUGGAAAACUUGAGUGCAGAAGAGGAAAGUGGAAUUCCAUGUGUAGCAGUGAAAUGCGCAGAGAUAUGGAGGAACACCAGUGGCGAAGGCGACUUUCUGGUCUGUAACUGACGCUGAUGUGCGAAAGCGUGGGGAUCAAACAGG